CGAUUAGAAAAGGUAGCUUCGGCCUCUGGCUGAGGAGGAGCCCGCGGCGGAUUAGCUUGUUGGUGGGGUAACGGCCUACCAAGGCUACGAUCCGUAGCUGGUCUGAGAGGACGAUCAGCCACACUGGGACUGAGACACGGCCCAGACUCCUACGGGAGGCAGCAGUGGGGAAUCUUGCGCAAUGGGCGAAAGCCUGACGCAGCGACGCCGCGUGCGGGAAGAAGGCCUUCGGGUUGUAAACCGCUUUCAGGAGGGACGAAGCCACUCGGGUUAAUAGCCCAGAGGGUGACGGUACUUCCAGAAGAAGCCCCGGCUAACUACGUGCCAGCAGCCGCGGUAAUACGUAGGGGGGCAAGCGUUGUCCGGAUUUAUUGGGCGUAAAGCGCGUGUAGGCGGCCAGUUAGGUCCGUUGUGAAAACUCGAGGCUCAACCUCGAGACGUCGACGGAAACCAUCUGGCUAGAGUCCGGAAGAGGAGAGUGGAAUUCCUGGUGUAGCGGUGAAAUGCGCAGAUAUCAGGAAGAACACCCGUGGCGAAGGCGGCUCUCUGGGACGGUACUGACGCUGAGACGCGAAAGCGUGGGGGAGCGAACAGGAUUAGAUACCCUGGUAGUCCACGCCGUAAACGAUGGGUGCUAGGUGUGGGCGGUGUCGACUCCGUCCGUGCCGAAGCUAACGCAUUA
rnacentral:rRNA from 1 species